GCCGCUGUAGCUCAGUGGUAGAGCACUUCCUUGGUAAGGAAGAGGUCGGGGGUUCGAUUCCCCCCAACGGCU
rnacentral:tRNA from 2 species